rnacentral:tRNA from 1 species
AUUAAAGUGGCAGAACAAUGCCAGGAAUUUAAGCUUCCUUAAUGAAAUUUUUUAUUUCCUUUAAUA